rnacentral:rRNA from 1 species
UCGAGGAUCUUCGGCAAUGGGCGAAAGCCUGACCGAGCGACGCCGCGUGCGGGAUGAAGGCCUUCGGGUUGUAAACCGCCGUCGGAGUGGAGGAAAUUCCAAGGGGUACUCCCCUUGGAUUGACCUAGACUCAGAGGAAGGACGGGCUAAGUACGUGCCAGCAGCCGCGGUAAUACGUACCGUCCAAACGUUAUUCGGAAUCACUGGGCUUAAAGGGUGCGUAGGCGGCUCAGAAAGUAGGGUGUGAAAGCCCUCGGCUCAACCGAGGAAUUGCGCCCUAAACUACUGGGCUCGAGGGACACAGAGGUAAGCGGAACUUAGGGUGGAGCGGUGAAAUGCGUUGAUAUCCUAAGGAACACCAGGAGCGAAAGCGGCUUACUGGGUGUCUUCUGACGCUGAGGCACGAAAGCUAGGGGAGCGAACG